rnacentral:rRNA from 1 species
AACGAACGCUGGCGGCAUGCCUAACACAUGCAAGUCGAACGAGACCUUCGGGUCUAGUGGCGCACGGGUGCGUAACGCGUGGGAAUCUGCCCUUGGGUUUGGAAUAACAGUUAGAAAUGACUGCUAAUACCAAAUGAUGUCGCAAGACCAAAGAUUUAUCGCCCAAGGAUGAGCCCGCGUAGGAUUAGCUAGUUGGUGAGGUAAAAGCUCACCAAGGCGACGAUCCUUAGCUGGUCUGAGAGGAUGAUCAGCCACACUGGGACUGAGACACGGCCCAGACUCCUACGGGAGGCAGCAGUGGGGAAUAUUGGACAAUGGGCGAAAGCCUGAUCCAGCAAUGCCGCGUGAGUGAUGAAGGCCUUAGGGUUGUAAAGCUCUUUUACC